rnacentral:sRNA from 1 species
AUUCUGCCCAAGCGGGGAAGGAUGAGAAGCUUCGACCAAGGUUCGACUCGAGCGCCAGCGAGAGAGCGUUGCCGCAGGCAACGA